rnacentral:rRNA from 1 species
CUGGCUCAGGAUGAACGCUGGCGGCGUGCUUAACACAUGCAAGUCGAACGAAGCACCUCUAAUCGAAGAUUGAGAAAGCUUGCUUUGAUUGAUUCACCUUGAGGUGACUGAGUGGCGGACGGGUGAGUAACGCGUGGGUAACCUACCCUAUACAGGGGGAUAACAGUUGGAAACGACUGCUAAUACCGCAUAAGCGCACGGGACCGCAUGGUCUAGUGUGAAAAACUCCGGUGGUAUAGGAUGGACCCGCGUCUGAUUAGCUAGUUGGUGAGGUAACGGCUCACCAAGGCGACGAUCAGUAGCCGACCUGAGAGGGUGACCGGCCACAUUGGGACUGAGACACGGCCCAAACUCCUACGGGAGGCGGCAGUGGGGAAUAUUGCACAAUGGGCGAAAGCCUGAUGCAGCGACGCCGCGUGAACGAAGAAGUAUUUCGGUAUGUAAAGUUCUAUCAGCAGGGAAGAAAAAUGACGGUACCUGACUAAGAAGCUCCGGCUAAAUACGUGCCAGCCGCAGC